ACGAAGGACCUAAAUAUCCCGAAGUCAUUGGAUCCCAUCUGAUCUUGGGAGCUAAGCAGGGUCAGUCCUGGCUAGUACUUGGAUGGGAAACCUCCAAUGAAUAUGUAGUGCUGUAGGCU
rnacentral:rRNA from 1 species